GAUGAACGCUGGCGGCGUGCCUAAUACAUGCAAGUCGAGCGAACGGACGAGAAGCUUGCUUCUCUGAUGUUAGCGGCGGACGGGUGAGUAACACGUUGAUAACCUACCUAUAAGACUGGGAUAACUUCGGGAAACCGGAGCUAAUACCGGAUAAUAUUUUGAACCGCAUGGUUCAAAAGUAAAAGACGGUCUUGCUGUCACUUAUAGAUGGAUCCGCGCUGCAUUAGCUAGUUGGUAAGGUAACGGCUUACCAAGGCAACGAUGCAUAGCCGACCUGAGAGGGUGAUCGGCCACACUGGAACUGGGACACGGUCCAGACUCCUACGGGAGGCAGCAGUAGGGAAUCUUCCGCAAUGGGCGAAAGCCUGACGGAGCAACGCCGCGUGAGUGAUGAAGGUCUUCGGAUCGUAAAACUCUGUUAUUAGGGAAGAACAUAUGUGUAAGUAACUGUGCACAUCUUGACGGUACCUAAUCAGAAAGCCACGGCUAACUACGUG
rnacentral:rRNA from 1 species